rnacentral:lncRNA from 1 species
UUUCUCGGCCAAACACCCUAGAAAGGCCUACGCCUUUCGAAACGAACCCCCAGAUCCCACUAAGGUCUGCUGGGCCCUGCUAUGUGCAGGUAUGACGCUAGGUAGAAAUAGCGGACACAGCAAAGAGGACCAGGCCCUUUUCCUGGAGCUGUUUUUCUGGAUGUGAAGAAACAAACAAGAGGCAGACAGUGUGGUUGUGGGCAGUGAAGAGAAUCCCGGAGGAGGAGGGUCACUGGCCAAGGAAGGGACACCUGUGGCUGUACCAGAAGGAACGUUCAAGUGAAGAUCUUAUCACCGAGUGUAAAUGCAGGACAUACCUGGCUAGCUGGAGAGGCUUGCAGAAGGACUGUGAGAGAUGACUGAGUAACAGAAGAGACGGCUGGCAUUCUUAACCCUUUGGCCCAGGCAGGGUCAACCCCAGGCCUGAUGGAGGAAGGCUCUUGAGUUUACAGGGAGCUGGGGGUUGGGGGGAGAGGCUGACAGGUUCUUUCAGUGUCAAGCUAAUGAAUACCUUCACAACCCAGAAAUUGCCUCAGCUGACCCACACCCUGGCAAUAGGGGAGGUAGCCUCUGGGCCACUGUGUCAGGACACACAACAAGGUUUCAGUCCCAUUCUGGAGACUGGCCCAUCUGCCCUUUAAUCCCACCAUUGGCCAAAUGAACCCUUCAAGGCCUCUGUCUUUAUUCUGAUGCAUGCGUGAUCUCCUGGGUCUGGGGCUAUAGCUGGCCUUGAUGGACCACUGGCUGUCCCCAUGAACACUGCUGUUGCUCACCCACCCCUACCCUCACAGAGGAGGAGUAGCCAAGAGCUUGUGGCUCCUGUUCCUCCACUGGAAGUGUUGGGCCUCUCCAGCCAUGAACCACAAGCUGGGUCUGAGUGUGAAGACAGAACGCUGUGAACCCACCAUCUUCCCCUGUUGUCUCCCCUCCACCCCACUUACUUAGAAGAAGCCUAGGGGUGGCAACUUGGAUCACCCACCAUGGUGGUGCCUGGCACACUCAACUUGAGCUCCCUCGCAAAUAAUAAAAUCCAAAGAG